rnacentral:rRNA from 1 species
UACGGGGGGGGCAAGCGUUGUUCGGAAUUACUGGGCGUAAAGGGCUCGUAGGCGGCCAACUAAGUCGGAUGUGAAAUCCCCAGGCUCAACCUGGGAACUGCAUCCGAUACUGGAUGGCUUGAAUUCGGGAGAGGGAUGCAGAAUUCCAGGUGUAGCGGUGAAAUGCGUAGAUAUCUGGAGGAAUACCGGUGGCGAAGGCGGCAUCCUGGA